AUGCUCGCAAGAGUGAACUAGCUAACUGAAAUCACAUGAGUCAUGCGUAAUUGUUGGUGAUUGUGAUAACGUAAGGGAAAAAAAUGAUAUUACCUUACUAUUAGUGUUGUCCAAAACUGGUGCCAGAAGACUCGGUAAGGCCAGAGACGCAAACGUUAGUCGUCCUAAUCAGGCGUAAAGGGUAUGUAGGCUGCUUUAAAAGUUUUAUUUAUAAAUAGCUCUGUAACCGUAAUAAAACAAUAAAUUUGUAUUAUACGUGUCACAGUAUAUAAUAAGAUGAAUUAAAGCUAGAAUCAAAUUGGGGAUAAACCGAAUAAUACUUAGAGUAGGGAUUAAAUCCGUAGAUACUAAGGGGAAUACUAAAGGUGAAAGCUUUUUAUCUAGUAAUGAUUGACGCUGAGAAACGAAGGUGAGAAUAGGAAAUAGGAUUAGAUACCCAGAUACCUCUCACUGUCAACGAUGAAUGGUGGUUGUUAGUUUUAAUAAAAACUGGUAACGAUGUUAACACGAUAACCAUUCCGCCUUGCGAGUACGGUUGCAAAACUGAAACCAAAAAAAUUAGUCGGUCUCGAAGCAAACGAAGUG
rnacentral:rRNA from 1 species